rnacentral:rRNA from 1 species
GAGGAAUAUUGGUCAAUGGGCGAGAGCCUGAACCAGCCAAGUCGCGUGAAGGAAGAAGGAUCUAUGGUUCGUAAACUUCUUUUUUAGGGGAAUAAAGUGCGGUACGUGUACCGUUUUGUAUGUACCCUACGAAUAAGGAUCGGCUAACUCCGUGCCAGCAGCCGCGGUAAUACGGAGGAUCCGAGCGUUAUCCGGAUUUAUUGGGUUUAAAGGGUGCGUAGGCGGGUUUUUAAGUCAGUGGUGAAAGUUUGCAGCUCAACUGUAAAAUUGCCAUUGAAACUGAAGACCUUGAGUGUAAAUGAGGUAGGCGGAAUGUGUUGUGUAGCGGUGAAAUGCUUAGAUAUGACACAGAACACCGAUUGCGAAGGCAGCUUACUAAGAUACAACUGACGCUGAGGCACGAAAGCGUGGGGAUCGAAC